AGCGAACGCUGGCGGCAGGCUUAACACAUGCAAGUCGAGCGGGCAUCCUUGUGGUGUCAGCGGCAGACGGGUGAGUAACGCGUGGGAACGUGCCCUUCGGUUCGGCAUAACUCAGGGAAACUUGAGCUAAUACCGGAUACGUGCGCGAGCAGAAAGGUUUAUCUGCGGGGGGAUCGGCUCGCGUCUGAUUAGCUAGUUGGUGAGGUUAGGGCUCACCAAGGCGGCGAUCGGUAGCUGGUCUGCGAGGGUGCGCGGACACACUGGGAGUGAGACACGGCCCAGACUGGUACGGGAGGCAGCAGUGGGGAAUGGGGAACAAGGGGCGGAAGCAUGAUGCAGCAACGCCGGGUGCGGGAUGACGGACGUCGGGUUGUAAAACGCUUUCGCCUGGGAAGAAGCGUGAGUGACGGUAAUGGGUAAAGAAGCACGGGCUAGCUACGUG
rnacentral:rRNA from 1 species